UACAGAGGAUGCAAGCGUUAUCCGGAAUUAUUGGGCGUAAAGCGUCUGUAGGUGGCUUUUUAAGUCCGCCGUCAAAUCCCAGGGCUCAACUCUGGACAGGCGGUGGAAACUACCAAGCUGGAGUACGGUAGGGGCAGAGGGAAUUUCCGGUGGAGCGGUGAAAUGCGUAGAGAUCGGAAAGAACACCAAUGGCGAAGGCAGCUCGCUGGGACGGUACUGACGCUGAGACGCGAAAGCGUGGGGAGCAAACAGG
rnacentral:rRNA from 1 species